rnacentral:rRNA from 1 species
AUUGAACGCUAGCGGGAUGCUUUACACAUGCAAGUCGAACGAGUGGCGGACGGGUGAGUAAUAUAUCGGAACGUGCCCAGUAGCGGGGGGUAACUACUCGAAAGAGUGGAUAAUACCUCAUACUAUUGUAGCGGCCGAUAUCGGAUUAGCUAGUUGGUGUGGUAAAGGCUAACCAAGGCAACGAUCCGUAGCUGGUUUGAGAGGACGACCAGCAACACUGGGACUGAGACACGGCCCAGACUCCUCCGGGAGGCAGCAGUGGGGAAUUUUGGAAAAUGGGGGAAACCCUGACACAGCCAUCCCGCGUGUAUGAGAAGGCCUUCGGGUUGUAAAGUCCUUUUGGCAGAGAAGCGGUACCUGCAGAAUAAGCACCGGCUAACUACGUGCCAGCAGCCGCGGUAAUAC